GACGAACGCUGGCGGCGUGCUUAACACAUGCAAGUCGAACGGAAAGGCCCUGCUUUUGUGGGGUUCUCGAUUGGCGAACGGGUGAGUAACACGUGAGUAACCUGCCCUUGACUUUGGGAUAACUUCAGGAAACUGGGGCUAAUACCGGAUAGGAGCUCCUGCUGCAUGGUGGGGGUUGGAAAGUUUCGGCGGUUGGGUAUGGACUCGCUGCUUAUCAGCUUGUUGGUGUGGUAGUGGCUUACCAAGGCUUUGACGGGUAGCCGGCCUGAGAGGGUGAACGGCCACAUUGGGACUGAGGUACGGCCCAGAAUCGUACGGGAGGCAGUAGUGGGGAGUAUUGCACAAUGGGGGGAAGCCUGAUGCAGCGACGCCGCGUGCGGGAUGACGGCCUUCGGGUUGUAAACAGCUUUCGAAUGUGACGAAGAGUGAGUGACGGUAAUGAGUAAAGAAGCACCGGCUAACUACGUG
rnacentral:rRNA from 1 species